rnacentral:tRNA from 1 species
GCCUGGGUGGCUCAGUCGGUUAAGCGUCUGACUUCAGCUCAGGUCACGAUCUCACAGCUCAUGGGUUCAAGCCCCACAUCGGGCU